rnacentral:rRNA from 1 species
UACGUAGGGUGCGAGCGUUGCCCGGAUUUAUUGGGCGUAAAGGGCGCGUAGGCGGCUCGGCACGUCCGUUGUGAAAUCGCUCGGCUCAACUGGGCGAGGUCAGCGGAUACGGUCGAGCUUGAGCCAGCUAGGGACAAUGGAAUUCCCGGUGUAGUGGUGGAAUGCGUAGAUAUCGGGAGGAACACCAGCGGCGAAGGCGGCGUCCUGGACUGGUACUGACGCUCAGGAGCGAAAGCGUGGGAGCGAGCCGG